GAUGAACGCUGGCGGCGUGCCUAAUACAUGCAAGUCGAGCGGGGCGUUGGACUGGAAGCCUUCGGGUGGAAGGUUCAAAGCCUAGCGGCGGACGGGUGAGUAACGCGUGGGUAACCUGUCCUGAAGUACGGGAUAACAGCUCGAAAGAGCUGCUAAUACCGUAUGUGGUCAACGGGAGCUAGCUUUUGUUGACUAAAGGUGAGAGCCGCUUCAGGGUGGGCCCGCGUCCCAUUAGCUAGUUGGCAGGGUAAUGGCCUACCAAGGCGACGAUGGGUAGCCGGCCUGAGAGGGCGACCGGCCACACUGGGACUGAGAUACGGCCCAGACUCCUACGGGAGGCAGCAGUGGGGAAUAUUGCACAAUGGGCGAAAGCCUGAUGCAGCAACGCCGCGUGCGGGAUGACGGCCUUCGGGUUGUAAACCGCUUUCAGCUCUGACGAAUUUGACGGUAGGAGCAGAAGAAGCACCGGCUAACUACGUG
rnacentral:rRNA from 1 species